AGACCGAUAGCGAACAAGUAGAGUGAUCGAAAGAUGAAAAGCACUUUGGAAAGAGAGUUAAAAAGCACGUGAAAUUGUUGAAAGGGAAGCGCUUGCAAUCAGACUUGUUUAAACUGUUCGGCCGGUCUUCUGACCGGUUUACUCAGUUUGGACAGGCCAGCAUCAGUUUCGGCGGCCGGAUAAAGGCUCUGGGAAUGUGGCCUUCACUUCGGUGAAGGUGUUAUAGCCCAGGGUGUAAUACGGCCAGCCGGGACUGAGGUCCGCGCUUCGGCUAGGAUGCUGGCGUAAUGGUUGUAAGCGACCCGUCUUGAAACACGGACCAAG
rnacentral:rRNA from 1 species